GAUGAACGCUGGCGGCGCGCUUAACACAUGCAAGUCGAACGAUGAAGCCCACUUGUGGGUGGAUUAGUGGCGAACGGGUGAGUAACACGUGAGUAACCUGCCCUUGACUCUGGGAUAAGCCUGGGAAACUGGGUCUAAUACCGGAUACGUUCCUCGGAUCGAACGACCUGGGGAGGAACGGUGGCGCAAGCUGCCGCUCUUGGAGGGGCCCGCGGCCUAUCAGCUAGUUGGCGGGGUAACGGCCCACCAAGGGUAUGACGGGUAGCGGGUCUGAGAGGACGACCAGCCACACGGGGACUGGGACACGGCCCCGACUCCUACGGGAGGCAGCAGUGGGGAAUUUUCCGCAAUGGGCGAAAGCCUGACGGAGUGACGCCGCGUGUGGGACGAAGGCCUUCGGGUCGUAAACCACUGUCAGUGGGAAAGAAGGGUGUCGGCGCGAUAACCGCCGGCAUUUGACGGUACCUGCAGAGGAAGCCCCGGCUAACUC
rnacentral:rRNA from 1 species